GCCGCUGCUCCGGCCGCCACCGUGGGGUCCCGGCCGCCGCCACCCCGCCGGGGAGUCGGGCUGAAGGAAGUCGCGGUGCUCCGGCGCCGGUGGGACCGGUGGCAGCGGCGGUGGCGGAGGCGCGGACACGGACGGCGAGGCCGGGCGGCCGCCGGGACGCGGGGCGGAACGCGGGUCACUGCAGUCCGGGCGCAGCGGUGGAAGCGCCGCCUCUGCUCCGGCGCCCGCCGCUCUCCAUGGAGCCCGCCGCUGCUCACAGCCACUCCUUGCUUGCACCCGCAGCUGCCGCCGCCGCAGCCGCCGCUGCCGCCCGGGGAAGAGCGCGGCUCGUGGCUCGUGCCACGCGGAGGCAGUUGGAAGCGCCGGUGCAGACCGGGCAGAAACGCCGAGGACCGUUUUUUUGGAGACUUUUAAUGAUCUAAAUUUAUUUUUGCAUUGUGAGAUAGAUAUGAGAUUUUAGGAGCUAGAAAUGAAAUGUUAUGACUUAAAAGUGAUAUGUUUGUGUGUUUAGUUGACAAGGAGUGGACGUGUGAUAGUUAAUCAUGAUCUUCAUUGUCUGAUAGACUAGAUUUAGAAUCAACUAAGAGCUGUGCUCCUGGAUAUGUCUGUGAGGGUGUUUCCAGAGAGUUUUAUUUGAGCAAAGACCCACCCUACAUGGGAUGACACCAUCCCAUGGUCUGAGGUCCUAGGCUGAAUAAAGAUGAACAAGGGAGAAGGUAAAACCAGCACCAGUAUUCACCUCUUUCUGCUUCCUAGCUGUGGAUCCAAUGUGGCCAGCCACCCCACACUCUACUACUCCACUAUCAAAGGCCUAAGUAGCCCUAUGACAAGGGUCAGACUCCUUCCUCCAUCUUCACUCUAACACUGGAAAAGGUCUCCAUUCCUGGACCGUGGAGAGAAAUGCUAGGGACAAGAUGAACCUACAUCAAGACUCAUGGACAGUUGUCUGAAAUACACAGGUGCUUCUCUUUUAACCUGCAUGGUAUUUGUUGAAGUUAAAACUAAAUGUCAACAUUUUAAAAUUCAGAAAUUUUAAAUAAGACUUUGUGUAGGCAUAAAUUUUUUGCAACCUACUUUUAAUAAGGGUUUAACCUCUCCUCUACCCACCACCCAGCAGACGUUGUGGAAGAGAAAAGUUAUUAGGGUAUGGGGAGUGGACUUGUUCAGCAGUAGUUCUUUGGGGGUGAGCUCCAUCUUCUUUGGCAGUAGUUCAGUCCCCUAGCAAACCCCAAAUAUGACUCAGCAGUUGCAGUUCAGUCCUCUAGGCAGACAGACACUAGGCACGAACCAGCAGCUACAGUCCAGUCCUUCCAGCAAGCAGACACCAGGCACAAACCGGCAACUGUAGUUCAAUCCUGAAAAACCCGCCAGGCUCACCAAUAGGCCUAAGGCGAGGCUGCAGAAGUGGCAAGCUGUUGUAGGAACUUCAGGAGCAGUUCUUGGGUGAGUUUCUCUCAAGGUUGGAGUUAUCACAAGUUGAGCUCAACAACGCUAUGUAAGGUGAACCAAUACGUAUGUGUCUUUAAAGAAGAACAGCAAGGCAGAGCAAACCAAGCCAAGGCUCAGGGCUCGUCCCUCACUGUCUGUGGGGUCACAUUUAUACUCCUUCAUCAAGCACCCUUUUACGUGUUUGCUAUAUCAAAACAUUCUUUCACCUGUGCCUGCUUCAGGAAAACAUCAUUUGACAUAACUUUCCAAAGAACUAGAAGUUUCCACUUCAAGUCUGAGUUUUCAGUCAUUUUGAGGGAGUGCUGGGUAUCAACACGUGUAGACAAGCAACCUACCACUGAACUUCACCUUGGACUUCUUGGAACAAUGAGCCAACAUUCUGGCAUGGCUGUCUUCAGAGGAGCUGGAUGCUCGUUGCUUCCUGAGGGUGAGGACAGUCUUCUCGGUCAGCCUGAGAAUCUCUAAUUACUGAGUAAUCUCUAAUUACUUGUUUACCCGCUCCUGUAUACUGAGCCUCUCCCAGAGCACCCAAGUCCUAAUUAUGGGAGUAGUCAAGAUUUCUUUUAGAUGGUGGCGGAACAGAGAGAAGGCAAGCCCUAGGCUUGAAUCUGAAUAGAUGAAGUUAAGUGAGCUUCCCUUAUUCUAGUUUUCCUGUUUUAAAUGUCCCCCAUGGGCUGCUCUGGGCAGUGGGAGGAAGGGUCUUAAUCAUACAGUGCAGGGAAAGGUCAGUCUAGCUUAAAAAACUCCUGAGAGCAUUGUUUCUCCUAAUUCUUGAGAAAGAUGGGCUUACCUGUGUACGAUGUCCAACACAUCAAUAAUAACUAUCAAAUGA